rnacentral:lncRNA from 1 species
CAUUGGGCUAUUUAUUGGUAAAUUUUGUUGCUGAUAGUAUUCUUCUUUGAACAUGAAAUAUGAUCUUUGUGAUCCUAUUUCAUGAGCAAAUUUCAUAUAGGCAUAGUCUCUUCUGGAGAAGUAUAACACAAAUCUAUAUAGUUCAGUGCAAGCAGGUUCCAUUCAUAUUGAAGGGUACAUUGACUGAAAGUUAUAGACUACUAGUUUUUCUUUGGGGAAACUGUCCUAUUUCCAGUAAUCCGUUUAUAAAUUCUUCUUCUGAUUAAUUACAUGAUUAUAAUCAUCCAAAUGUGACCUACACUAUUUAGUUAGCUUUUGCUCUAGUACAUAG